AUUUUCAACCCCAGGGCUGACUUCAACCCCGGGGUUGAAAUUUCAACCCUGCUUCAACUCCGGGGUUGAACUCAGCCCUGGGUUGAAAA